UGCCCCAUGGCUGAGUUGGUUACAGCGUCCGACUGUUAUUUCAAACCCUUGGUUGGCUGUAGCAAUCGGAAGGUCGUGAGUUCGAGCCUCACUGGGGCAG
rfam:Moniliophthora roreri strain MCA 2952 kmer90.96240, whole genome shotgun sequence.